rnacentral:rRNA from 1 species
CCUACGGGUGGCAGCAGUAGGGAAUAUUCGGCAAUGGGGGCAACCCUGACCGAGCAACGCCGCGUGAAGGAAGAAGGAUUUCGGUAUGUAAAGUUCUUUUAUUGGAGAAGAAAGGGAAAUUUGACGGUAACAAAUGACUAAGCCUAGGUUCACUACGUGCCAGCCGCCGCGGUAAUACGUAGGGGGCGAGCGUUGUCCGGAUUUAUUGGGCGUAAAGGGUGCGUAGAUGGUUGUGAAAAGUCGUUGGUAAAAGUGGUAGGCUCAACCUAGUAGGGCAAAAGAUACUGAUGAACUAGAGUACUGCAGAGGCAGGUGGAACUACAUGUGUAGCGGUGAAAUGCGUAGAUAUUAGGAGGAACACCGGUGGCGAAGGCGGUCUGCUGGACCGGUACUGACGUUGAGGCACGAAAGCGUGGGGAGCAAACAGGAUUAGAUACCCGAGUAGUC